AUACGGAGGGCGCAAGCGUUGUUCGGAAUCAUUGGGCGUAAAGCGCGUGUAGGCGGCUUGACAAGUCGGACGUGAAAGCCCGGGGCUCAACCCCGGAACGGCGCCCGAAACUGCCUGGCUAGAGUCCCGGAGAGGAGGGCGGAAUUCCCGGUGUAGAGGUGAAAUUCGUAGAUAUCGGGAGGAACACCAGCGGCGAAGGCGGCCCUCUGGACGGUGACUGACGCUGAGAUGCGAAAGCGUGGGGAGCAAACAGGAUUAGAAACCCCAGUAGUCC
rnacentral:rRNA from 1 species